UACGAAGGGGGCUAGCGUUGCUCGGAAUCACUGGGCGUAAAGGGUGCGUAGGCGGGUCUUUAAGUCAGGGGUGAAAUCCUGGAGCUCAACUCCAGAACUGCCUUUGAUACUGAGGAUCUUGAGUCCGGGAGAGGUGAGUGGAACUGCGAGUGUAGAGGUGAAAUUCGUAGAUAUUCGCAAGAACACCAGUGGCGAAAGCGGCUCUCUGGGACGGUACUGACGCUGAGACGCGAAAGCGUGGGGAGCAAACAGG
rnacentral:rRNA from 1 species